rnacentral:rRNA from 1 species
GCCGGCAGCUAGCUCUCUGCAACUCUCACAUGGUCGCCCACUGAAGCUAAGCAGGGCUGCGCCCGAUCAGUACCUGGAUGGGGGACCACAUGGGUAAGCUAGGUCACUGCCGGAA